rnacentral:lncRNA from 1 species
CCUGCACAGCUCGGGGGCCCCGGGACAGGAGCGUCUGUCCUGGGCCCUCCCUGCCCCCGCCUGUCCCGGGGGAGGCAGGGUCCCGGGCUGUUUCCCCCGCGCCCUGGGCUCCGGGGCCUGCGCCGCUGGAAUCGCGCUCCCCGGGCCGCGGCUCCCGAAGGCAGCAGGUGCAGCCCCCUCCGCCCGGAGCCCCCGCCCGCCCCCCGGCUCCUCCCCGAGGCCCCCCGGCGCGGCUCCAGCCCUUCCCCUAGCUCUGCCCGCUCUCCCCCGGGCGCCCUCCUGCUAGUGGCCCCGGGAACCUGGGGGCUCCGCUGCCCUCCUGCGGUCCUGCCCGAGCUCCCUGUGAGCGCCCUCCCGGCGGGAAGACUCCUGGGAUCGUUCAAGUUCCCGCUUCUCCCGGGCCCUCCCGGCCUUAGCCUGGCUCCUCGCAGGGCCCCGACCCCCCAUCCUCCUCCUUCUCCUUCUCCUUCUUCUCCUUCUCUCUCCUUCUCCUUCUCCUUCUCCUUCUCCUUCUCCUUCUCCUUCUCCUUCUUCUUCUUCUUCUUCUUCUUCUUCUUCUUCUUCUUCUUCUUCUUCUUCUUUCUUCUUCUUCUUCUUCUUCUUCUUCUUCUUCUUCUUCUUCUUCUUUCUUCUUUCUUCUUCUUCUUCUUUUCUUCUUCUUCUUUUCUUCUUCUUCUUCUUCUUCUUCUUCUUCUUCUUUCUUCUUUCUUCUUCUUCUUCUUUUCUUCUUCUUCUUUUCUUCUUCUUCUUCUUCUUCUUCUUCUUCUUUCUUCUUCUUCUUUCUUCUUCUUCUUCUUCUUUCUUCUUCUUCUUCUACUACUUCUUCUUCUACUUCUUCUUCUUCUUCUUUAUUCUUUCUUUUCUUCUUUCUUUCUUUUUCUUCUUUCUUCUUCUUUCUUCUUCUUCUUCUUCUUCUUUAUUCUUUCUUUUCUUCUUUCUUCUUUCUUUCUUUUUCUUCUUUCUUCUUCUUCUUCUUCUUCUUCUUCUUCUUCUUCUUCUUCUUCUUCUUCCUUCUUCUUCUUUUCUUCUUCUUCCUUCUUCUUUCUUCUUCUUCUUUCUUCUUCUUCUUCUCUUCUUCUCUUCUUCUUCCUUCAUCUUCUCUUCUUCUUCUUCCUUCUUCUUUUCUUCUUCCUUUUCUUCCUUCUUCUUUUCUUCUUCCUUCUUCUUCUUCCUUCUUUUCUUCUUCUUCUUCUUCUUCUUCUUCUUCUUCUUCCUUCUUCUUCCUUCUUUUCUUCUUCUCUUCUUUUCUUCUUCUUUUCUUCUUCUUCUUCGUCUUUUCUUCUUCUUUUCUUCUUCUUUUCUUUUCUUCUUCUUCUUCUUCUUCUUCCUUCUUCUUCCUUCUUUUCUUCUUCUCUUCUUUUCUUCUUCUUUUCUUCUUCUUCUUCUUUUCUUCUUCUUUUCUUUUCUUCUUCUUCUUCUUCUUCUUCUUCUUCUUCUUCUUCUUCUUCUUCUUCUUCUUCUUCUUCUUUUCUUCUUCUUCUUCUUCCUUCUUCCUUCUUCUCCUCCUCCUUCUUUUCCCACUUUCCUACCUUGUUAGAAGCGAAAACCUUUCUCUCUGUAGCGUUCCAGCUGUUCUCUCGUUAA